rnacentral:rRNA from 1 species
UACGGGGGGUGCAAGCGUUGUUCGGAUUUAUUGGGCGUAAAGCGCGUGUAGGCGGUCUGUUUAGUCUGGUGUGAAAGCCCUGGGCUCAACCCGGGAAGUGCAUUGGAUACUGGCAGACUUGAGUACGGGAGAGGAUAGUGGAAUUCCGAGUGUAGGGGUGAAAUCCGUAGAUAUUCGGAGGAACACCGGUGGCGAAGGCGGCUAUCUGGACCGAUACUGACGCUGAGACGCGAAAGCGUGGGGAGCAAACAGG